rnacentral:tRNA from 1 species
GCAGGUAUCGUAUAAAGGUUAAUAUAAGAGACUUCCACUCUUUUGAUGUGGGUUCGAUUCCCACUAUCUGCU